rnacentral:tRNA from 1 species
GCAGUCGUUGCCGAGUGGUUAAGGCGAUGGACUAUAAAUCCAUUAGGGUCUCCUCGCGCAGGUUCGAAUCCCGUCGACUGCG